rnacentral:lncRNA from 1 species
CAGACAACAAUUGGCAUUCAGGAUCUAAGGCACAGGAAAGUGAAAGAGAGGAAACAGCAGAUAAGAUCAUGUUGUCCUCUAAGAGGCUUCACACAGCAGCUGACUCAGACAGAUGCAGAUACUAACAGCCAAACUGUAGAUGGAGCUUGGGGACUCUAAUGGAAGAAUGGGAAGAAGGAUUGUGGGCCAAAAAGGGAAGAACACACUUUUAAAGAUCUGGCCAUUUUACCCUGCAUAUGGUGCUAGAAAAUGACACCAUGACCCAAGGUCCUAUAAACUCAAGUUGGCCAAACUCUGACCUCCAUGUGCUUCUUCUCAUCAUCACAUGCUCACCCCACAGUCACGCAUGGGACUUCAUGAGACACCCUCCCUCCCCAGGAGGCAGAUGUUAUUUAAGUGUAGUAUUAUGAAGAAAUCACAGGUAAUGUGAAGCUAUUUCCCUGAAUUCUCUUAAGAAACUUCACUGUAUGGACACUAACUAUGGAAAAAAUACAUAUUUAUACUUAUGUUCGUUGACUAGGUCCACUCUCACCCUUGGUUAGAGAAACUUAUUUUUCAGUGGGCAGCAGUAAUUGCAGAAUCAAAACUGCUCAAAGUACUGAGAAUUAGUGGCUGUCCUUGCUCAGCAUUAAGUUAGACAUGUAUGCCAACCUUAUGCCACCAACUGUCACCAAGGUUCAGGGAAUAUCACAGAAGAAGCAGCAGAGAGUUGCUGGGAAAUUCUUUCCUCUGAACAUGACAUGGCUAAUACACUAUGAACUCAUAGUGUAAUACCAGUGGUGCUUAUCUGCACGAAGAUCAAGCCAAACAAAAGUGAAGAAUAGAGAGGGAGGAGCUUACAAGGCUCCUCCCCUGACAGAUUAGCAUUUGAUAGCUUUUCAGGGAGGGAGAAUCUUUCUUCUUCAGGGGGAAGUGGCCAUGACAAACGAUGCAAAGCUGGAGGAGAUUCUUGUUGGGAGAGAUCCAGGAGGAAUUGGAGGGGUGAAAGAUCAUAUUUAAUUUAUGCAUAUACAUAAAGAUAUUAAAGAAUUAACUGUUAAAAGAAAAACACAUAUUAAAUCCGCAAAUUUAAAAACCUUUUCCAGAGAAUGAAAUAAUUGAAAUAGCAUAGAUAAACUUCAUCGAUUUGGAAUCCCUCAAGAAAGUUUGAGUGAAGAUAGCUUCUGAUACUUUCCUUACUUUCAGAACUAAACCAAAACUUGAUAGGUCCUGUGACCUGGAUAAGGGAAGCAAGAGGAAAUCAUUUGAACUUGUCUCUCCUUGUUAAAUGUUGGGUCGGAUGGCAAGGUCCUGAGCACCAAGAAUAGCAGUGUGAACUGUAAGUCAGUCUAUUCACGAUGGCAAAAAUAUUAGAGGAGAACUCUUUCUAGUGGAUGCUCUAGUAGUUCUGGGUGCUUAUUCAAUAGAAGCAAAGUCAGCUGAUUGCAAGGCAGAGCUUCUCAAACUGUUUCCAUCUAUGACCGAUUUAACCUGCACAAUUUUAUAUAGCUCUCAGUAUUUUUAGGCAUAUAAGAUAGUGUGUAAAUUACAUAAAUACUGAUCAUAAAUCAUAAAUACAUCUAUUUUAAAGUAAUUCAUUGUCCCAAAAUAACCUGGAGGGUCUUGUGCCAGCAGGAACAGGGACAAAGGAAACCCACUGGAUCAGUGACUGGGGUUCCUUCCGGUGGCACCAGCCCCGCGCCAUCUUGGGUGCAAACUCGGUGGAAGGUGACAAGGUCCCCAGAGGAUACUUUCCACACUGCAGGCUCCCUAGAAUACCCAGGAUCUUGAGAUUACUGGUGAGUGGAAUGCAACAUCUGUUCCAAAACAACCCAGAGGGUCAUGGAAGCUGAACAACACUCUACUCAAUGAUACCUUGGUUAAGGACGACAUAAAGAAAGAGAUUAAAGACUUUUUAGAGUUUAAUGAAAAUGAAGCCACAACAUAUCCAAACUUAUGGGACAAAAAGAAAGUAUUCGUAAGAGGAAAAAUCAUAGCUAUGAGUGCCGCCAAAAAGAAACUAGAGAGAACAUACACUAUCUGCCUGACAGCACACCUAAAAGCUCUAGAAUAAAAGAAAGCAAAUUCACCCAAGAGAAGUAGAUGGCAGGAAAUAAUGAAACUCAGGGCUAAAAUUGACCAAGUGGAAACAAAA